GGUUGUGACUCAGUGAUAGAGUGCUUGCCUAGCAUGCGUGAGGCACUGGGUUCGAUCCCGGGCACCA
rnacentral:tRNA from 1 species